rnacentral:rRNA from 1 species
AGCGCAUACGGUGGAUGCCUUGGCAGUCAGAGGCGAUGAAAGACGUGGUAGCCUGCGAAAAGCUUCGGGGAGUCGGCAAACAGACUGUGAUCCGGAGAUGUCUGAAUGGGGGAACCCAGCCAUCAUAAGAUGGUUAUCUUGUACUGAAUACAUAGGUGCAAGAGGCGAACCAGGGGAACUGAAACAUCUAAGUACCCUGAGGAAAAGAAAUCAACCGAGAUUCCCUUAGUAGUGGCGAGCGAACGGGGACCAGCCCUUAAGUUGUAUUGAGAUUAGCGGAACGUUCUGGAAAGGACGGCCAUAGUGGGUGAUAGCCCUGUACGCGAAAAUCCCUUUGCAAUGAAAUCGAGUAGGACGGGGCACGAGAAACCUUGUCUGAAUAUGGGGGGACCAUCCUCCAAGGCUAAAUACUACUGACUGACCGAUAGUGAACCAGUACCGUGAGGGAAAGGCGAAAAGAACCGCGGAGAGCGGAGUGAAAUAGAUCCUGAAACCGUAUGCGUACAAGCAGUGGGAGCCCACUUGUUGGGUGACUGCGUACCUUUUGUAUAAUGGGUCAGCGACUUAUUUUCAGUGGCGAGCUUAACCGAAUAGGGGAGGCGUAGCGAAAGCGAGUCUUAAUAGGGCGUCUAGUCGCUGGGAAUAGACCCGAAACCGGGCGAUCUAUCCAUGGGCAGGUUGAAGGUUGGGUAACGCUAACUGGAGGACCGAACCGACUACCGUUGAAAAGUUAGCGGAUGACCUGUGGAUCGGAGUGAAAGGCUAAUCAAGCUCGGAGAUAGCUGGUUCUCCUCGAAAGCUAUUUAGGUAGCGCCUCAUGUAUCACUGUAGGGGGUAGAGCACUGUUUCGGCUAGGGGGUCAUCCCGACUUACCAAACCGAUGCAAACUCCGAAUACCUACAAGUGCCGAGCAUGGGAGACACACGGCGGGUGCUAACGUCCGUCGUGAAAAGGGAAACAACCCAGACCGUCAGCUAAGGUCCCAAAGUCAUGGUUAAGUGGGAAACGAUGUGGGAAGGCUUAGACAGCUAGGAGGUUGGCUUAGAAGCAGCCACCCUUUAAAGAAAGCGUAAUAGCUCACUAGUCGAGUCGGCCUGCGCGGAAGAUGUAACGGGGCUCAAACCAUGCACCGAAGCUACGGGUAUCAUCUUUUGAUGAUGCGGUAGAGGAGCGUUCUGUAAGCCUGUGAAGGUGAGUUGAGAAGCUUGCUGGAGGUAUCAGAAGUGCGAAUGCUGACAUGAGUAACGACAAUGGGUGUGAAAAACACCCACGCCGAAAGACCAAGGUUUCCUGCGCAACGUUAAUCGACGCAGGGUUAGUCGGUCCCUAAGGCGAGGCUGAAAAGCGUAGUCGAUGGAAAACAGGUUAAUAUUCCUGUACUUCUGGUUAUUGCGAUGGAGGGACGGAGAAGGCUAGGCCAGCCUGGCGUUGGUUGUCCAGGUUUAAGGUGGUAGGCUGAGAUCUUAGGUAAAUCCGGGAUUUCAAGGCCGAGAGCUGAUGACGAGUGUUCUUUAGAACACGAAGUGGUUGAUGCCAUGCUUCCAAGAAAAGCUUCUAAGCUUCAGGUAACCAGGAACCGUACCCCAAACCGACACAGGUGGUUGGGUAGAGAAUACCAAGGCGCUUGAGAGAACUCGGGUGAAGGAACUAGGCAAAAUGGCACCGUAACUUCGGGAGAAGGUGCGCCGGUGAGGGUGAAGCAUUUACUGCGUAAGCCCACGCCGGUCGAAGAUACCAGGCCGCUGCGACUGUUUAUUAAAAACACAGCACUCUGCAAACACGAAAGUGGACGUAUAGGGUGUGACGCCUGCCCGGUGCCGGAAGGUUAAUUGAUGGGGUUAGCGCAAGCGAAGCUCUUGAUCGAAGCCCCGGUAAACGGCGGCCGUAACUAUAACGGUCCUAAGGUAGCGAAAUUCCUUGUCGGGUAAGUUCCGACCUGCACGAAUGGCGUAACGAUGGCGGCGCUGUCUCCACCCGAGACUCAGUGAAAUUGAAAUCGCUGUGAAGAUGCAGUGUAUCCGCGGCUAGACGGAAAGACCCCGUGAACCUUUACUAUAGCUUUGCACUGGACUUUGAAUUUGCUUGUGUAGGAUAGGUGGGAGGCUUUGAAGCGUGGACGCCAGUCUGCGUGGAGCCAACCUUGAAAUACCACCCUGGCAACUUUGAGGUUCUAACUCAGGUCCGUUAUCCGGAUCGAGGACAGUGUAUGGUGGGUAGUUUGACUGGGGCGGUCUCCUCCUAAAGAGUAACGGAGGAGUACGAAGGUGCGCUCAGACCGGUCGGAAAUCGGUCGUAGAGUAUAAAGGCAAAAGCGCGCUUGACUGCGAGACAGACACGUCGAGCAGGUACGAAAGUAGGUCUUAGUGAUCCGGUGGUUCUGUAUGGAAGGGCCAUCGCUCAACGGAUAAAAGGUACUCCGGGGAUAACAGGCUGAUACCGCCCAAGAGUUCAUAUCGACGGCGGUGUUUGGCACCUCGAUGUCGGCUCAUCACAUCCUGGGGCUGAAGCCGGUCCCAAGGGUAUGGCUGUUCGCCAUUUAAAGUGGUACGCGAGCUGGGUUUAGAACGUCGUGAGACAGUUCGGUCCCUAUCUGCCGUGGACGUUUGAGAUUUGAGAGGGGCUGCUCCUAGUACGAGAGGACCGGAGUGGACGAACCUCUGGUGUUCCGGUUGUCACGCCAGUGGCAUUGCCGGGUAGCUAUGUUCGGAAAAGAUAACCGCUGAAAGCAUCUAAGCGGGAAACUUGCCUCAAGAUGAGAUCUCACUGGAACCUUGA